rnacentral:rRNA from 1 species
GGGCGUAAAGCGCGCGCAGGCGGUCCUUUAAGUCUGAUGUGAAAGCCCACGGCUCAACCGUGGAGGGUCAUUGGAAACUGGGGGACUUGAGUGCAGAAGAGGAGAGUGGAAUUCCACGUGUAGCGGUGAAAUGCGUAGAGAUGUGGAGGAACACCAGUGGCGAAGGCGACUCUCUGGUCUGUAACUGACGCUGAGGCGCGAAAGCGUGGGGAGCGAACAGGAUUAGAUACCCUGGUAGUCCACGCCGUAAACGAUGAGUGCUAAGUGUUAGAGGGUUUCCGCCCUUUAGUGCUGCAGCAAACGCAUUAAGCACUCCGCCUGGGGAGUACGGCCGCAAGGCUGAAACUCAAAGGAAUUGACGGGGGCCCGCACAAGCGGUGGAGCAUGUGGUUUAAUUCGAAGCAACGCGAAGAACCUUACCAGGUCUUGACAUCCUCUGACACCUCUGGAGACAGAGUUUUCCCCUUCGGGGGACAGAGUGACAGGUGGUGCAUGGUUGUCGUCAGCUCGUGUCGUGAGAUGUUGGGUUAAGUCCCGCAACGAGCGCAACCCUUGUCCUUAGUUGCCAGCAUUCAGUUGGGCACUCUAAGGAGACUGCCGGUGACAAACCGGAGGAAGGUGGGGAUGACGUCAAAUCAUCAUGCCCCUUAUGACCUGGGCUACACACGUGCUACAAUGGAUAGAACAAAGGGCAGCGAAGCCGCGAGGUGAAGCCAAUCCCAUAAAUCUAUUCUCAGUUCGGAUUGCAGGCUGCAACUCGCCUGCAUGAAGCCGGAAUCGCUAGU